rnacentral:sRNA from 1 species
GAGAAUGUGGAUUAUAUGAUUCAGGAGCUCCGAAGACCCAAAUACACUAUAUAUUUCAUUUAUUUCAGUAAUGUGAUCAGCAAGAGUGACGUGAAGUCAUUGGCUGAAGCUGAUGAACAGGAAGUUGUGGCUGAGGUUCAGGAAUUUUAUGGUGAUUACAUUGCUGUGAACCCACAUUUGUUUUCCCUCAAUAUUUUGGGUUGCUGCCAGGUAUGGAAGGAAAGGUUUAAUUUAUCAGUCGAGGGUUAAUUCAGCAAAUAAUUAGACUUGUAAGAGAAAAUUCAAAUAUUUUCUCUGAAUAUAUGUUUUUAACAAA